CGGGUGGUAAUGCCGGAUGUUCCACAUGAUCGCAUGUGAUUGUGGGAAAGAUUCUAUCGGCGUGGGAUGGGGUCGCGUCCUAUCAGCUUGUUGGUGAGGUAACGGCUCACCAAGGCUUCGACGGGUAGCCGGCCUGAGAGGGCGACCGGCCACAUUGGGACUGAGAUACGGCCCAGACUCCUACGGGAGGCAGCAGUGGGGAAUAUUGCACAAUGGGCGCAAGCCUGAUGCAGCGACGCCGCGUGAGGGAUGGAGGCCUUCGGGUUGUAAACCUCUUUUGUUUGGGAGCAAGCCUUCGGGUGAGUGUACCUUUCGAAUAAGCGCCGGCUAACUACGUGCCAGCAGCCGCGGUAAUACGUAGGGCGCAAGCGUUAUCCGGAUUUAUUGGGCGUAAAGGGCUCGUAGGCGGCUCGUCGCGUCCGGUGUGAAAGUCCAUCGCUUAACGGUGGAUCUGCGCCGGGUACGGGCGGGCUGGAGUGCGGUAGGGGAGACUGGAAUUCCCGGUGUAACGGUGGAAUGUGUAGAUAUCGGAAAGAAACACCA
rnacentral:rRNA from 1 species